rnacentral:rRNA from 1 species
GACGAACGCUGGCGGCGUGCCUAAUACAUGCAAGUUGAGCGCUGAAGGUUGGUACUUGUACCAACUGGAUGAGCAGCGAACGGGUGAGUAACGCGUGGGGAAUCUGCCUUUGAGCGGGGGACAACAUUUGGAAACGAAUGCUAAUACCGCAUAAAAACUUUAAACACAAGUUUUAAGUUUGAAAGAUGCAAUUGCAUCACUCAAAGAUGAUCCCGGGUUGUAUUAGCUAGUUGGUGAGGUAAAGGCUCACCAAGGCGAUGAUACAUAGCCGACCUGAGAGGGUGAUCGGCCACAUUGGGACUGAGACACGGCCCAAACUCCUACGGGAGGCAGCAGUAGGGAAUCUUCGGCAAUGGACGAAAGUCUGACCAGCAACGCCGCGUGAGUGAAGAAGGUUUUCGGAUCGUAAAACUCUGUUGGUAGAGAAGAACGUUGGUGAGAGUGGAAAGCUCAUCAAGUGACGGUAACUACCCAGAAAGGGACGGCUAACUACGUG